rnacentral:rRNA from 1 species
AUUGAACGCUGGCGGCAGGCCUAACACAUGCAAGUCGAGCGGAUGAAGGGAGCUUGCUCCUGGAUUCAGCGGCGGACGGGUGAGUAAUGCCUAGGAAUCUGCCUGGUAGUGGGGGAUAACGUCCGGAAACGGGCGCUAAUACCGCAUACGUCCUGAGGGAGAAAGUGGGUGAUCUUCGGACCUCUCGCUAUCAGCUGAGCCUAGGUCGGAUUAGCUAGUUGGUGGGGUAAAGGCCUACCAAGGCGACGAUCCGUAACUGGUCUGAGAGGAUGAUCAGUCACACUGGAACUGAGACACGGUCCAGACUCCUACGGGAGGCAGCAGUGGGGAAUAUUGGACAAUGGGCGAAAGCCUGAUCCAGCCAUGCCGCGUGUGUGAAGAAGGUCUUCGGAUUGUAAAGCACUUUAAGUUGGGAGGAAGGGCAGUAAGUUAAUACCUUGCUGUUUUGACGUUACCAACAGAAUAAGCACCGGCUAACUUCGUG